UGAUUAGCUAGUUGGUGAGAUAACAGCCCACCAAGGCGACGAUCAGUAGCCGACCUGAGAGGGUGAUCGGCCACAUUGGGACUGAGACACGGCCCAAACUCCUACGGGAGGCAGCAGUGGGGAAUAUUGCACAAUGGGGGAAACCCUGAUGCAGCAACGCCGCGUGAAGGAAGACGGUUUUCGGAUUGUAAACUUCUAUCGAUGGGGAAGAAAAGAAUGACGGUACCCAAAUAAGAAGCCCCGGCUAACUACGUGCC
rnacentral:rRNA from 1 species